CUAAAACCAAAAAAUCAUCUAAAACAACCAACAAAACCGAUAUUGAGUUGUCGAAGAAAGGUACACACUUCUAAAAAUAUCUGGAAGUGAGGAAGGCGGAGUUGAAGAGGCAACGCUUCGAGGAGGAUGUAAAGCUGGAUAAGGAGUUUGAUGCACAAUUAACUCGGCUCAUGGAGAAGUACAGCCGAGGAAAAGCACUAGCUAUGUCCUGAAAAUAGAAAGGAGUACGAGAGAUGCAGCAACAUAAAUCGUUCUAAAUGAGAUAAUGCAACUGUAUGUGCAACUGACAACCAUAUAAACAACUACAAAUGUAAUUUAAAAAAACGGUUAAAAAAUACAUUUAAUUGCAUAAUAAGUUGCAACUGUUUGAAAAUUUUAUAACCGAUCAUUAUUAAUAUCAUAGAAACAAUCAUAAAAUCAACUAAAAUAAAAAAAAUAAUUAAAAAGAACCAACAAAACUGAUAUCGAGUUGUGGAAGAAAGGUACAAUCUUCUAAAAUAUCUGGAAGAGGAAGGCUGAGUUCAAGAGGCUGCGCUGCGAGGAGGAUGUAAAGCUGGAUAAGGAGUUUGAUACUGAGUUGGUGAUGUGCUCAAAAUAUGAUUUUGAAAUUACUCGCAAGUGCACGAUCCCGUUUUAGUAAUAUAAGAUUCGUUCCAAGGACUAAAUUUAUUUUCGCGAAAACUUAAUUUUUAACUUAAUCAAAUUAGACCAAAUGAUUUUUGAAGGUGUUUUGAUUUAUCUAAAUUGAAAAUUAAAAAUUGAAUCUAAAAUCUAAAAUACUAAUUAACAAUUAAAUUUGAAAGAAAAUAAUUAUCUAAAUAGAAACUACUAAUUAAUAAUUAACAAGUAAUUAGGAAACUACUGACGCAGGCAGUUGAAAUGCGUGGUGCGGUAAGCGAAACAAAGGACAAGAAAAUAAUAAAAGAAAACAAAUAAAAAGUAAAUAAUAAAAUAAUAAAAUAAUAAAAACAGGCGGGGUGCAACAGCAGAAUACUAAAUGAAAUAGUAGGCGCGUGAGUAACUGACUAUAUCUUCUCGAACAGUAGCCGUAAACUAAACAGUGACGCAAUUACAUGAUUCUCGCAUCGGAAGUUAUGGAGGUGCUCGGAAUAGCUUAAAUCUCGUCGGAAAAUUGAUUUGACCGGAAAAUUAAGCCAUUCCAACUAUGACAAAUAAAAGCACACUAACCUCUAAACCAAAUUUGACACUAAAUUUUACACUAAAUAGCCCCUAAACUACCCAUUUCUUGACCAAAACGAGAUCCAAAUCAAACCAAAUCAACUCUAAACUACACCAAAUUUCAAAUCUAACCUAAACAUAAUAUUUCCAACAUAAACCCACUAACCUCAAUUAAAAAUCAUAAACUAAAAUUUACACCAAAAAGCCCCAAAAUCAAGAACAAGGAGAACACCAAAUCUUACCAAACUAACUCCAAAUUACACAAAACUUUAAAACUAGCUUAUCUAUCAAGUUUCUAACAAAACCCCAUCAAACUACCAACCAAAAUAUCAACUAAGCCAUUGAACCCACUAAUAAUAUUGAGAAUCAAAAGGGGCUCAAGCUAAAUACUAAAAAUGUAAGCUUAAAACUUGAAUCAAAGGCUCAACCCACAAGUGGUUGGCAUAAAUGCCACUUUAUCCACUUGUUGUAAAUAAAGGUUUUCAUAGCCAUAAAUUUCAACAAGGUAAAGAUGUAGGAGAUGAAGAAACUAAACUUGAACUUAUAUUAAACAAGAAAGUGUUUACAAUAUUUGAGAGAUUACAAUUUGAAAAAGAAAGCUAGAAAUUGAUGGAGGCUACUAACAACUAGGUAAAACUAGGGUAAACUAACUUGAGAGCUAAUGAGAGAAAAGGGUGUUUAUAUAGGCCAAGAUUAGGGUUUUAGGGGUAGAAGGGUCCUUGUUUUUUUUUGAUUUUCUUUUCCCUUUUCUUCUUCUUCUUCUUUUUCUUUUCUUUUUCUUCCUCUUUUUCCCUUCUUGCACCUUUUUGUUCCUUUUUCUCUUGAAUUCUCGAUUUCUCUAAAAAUUCCUGAAAACAAAACAAUUAACUAAUAAAAUACGAAAACAAGCAAUAAAUCGGUAGUUAAAAUGUGCAAAAUAAUGGACCUAUCAGUUGGCUCGGCUGACCGAUCGAGAAAUACAGCGAGCAAAAGCACCAGCUCUGUCCGGAAAAAAUAGAAAGGAGCGUGACAAAUGCAGCAGCAUAAAUUGUUCUAAAUGAUUGCAAACAAAAUCACAGACCCACACAAAUUCAUAACCAUAUUAUUUUACGAAAAAUGAGAAAAAAUUAGGUUUACCUUGCAUGGUGGUACACCGGAACAUUUUCUUCCUUUUUUAUCAAAUUGCAAUCAUAUAUGCUAAAGGAUGGGAGAAAAUACGCAAGCUGUACUAUAUGAAAAUAUAUUAGAUAUGAAGAUUACAAGAAUAUGCUCAAAUAAAUAAUAUGUAAUUUAAAGGGAAACCAAAAGUUCCAACAAUAAAGAAUUUAAAUACAAAUCACAUGAUAAAUAUGUCAUAUUAUUAGUUAAAUAUACAAAUUUAGUGUAUAAUGAAUUUUUAUUUAUUAUAAAUUUAACAUAGAUUAUAUUUAAGUCUUCCACAAAAAAAUAUAUAAAUAUAACCCGAACCAAAAUACCUUUUUAAAAAAUAUAGUAAAAUAAGAAUAAAUCCACUUUAAUUUACAAAACAUAAUUACAUUUAAAUUAAUUUUUAAAUUCUAAUCAUAAUGAGUAGAUUAAUUUAAUAAAAUAAAUGAAAACACAAGAAAUGUUUGUGCAAUAUACUUAAAUAUUUAUUUUUAUGCAUCACAACUUGAUGGGAUAUUUUUUUCAUACUAUAAUUUUUUAGUUUGUUUUAAAAUACAAUAUAUUAAUUUAUUAUCAAUAUUUCAAGUUGCUCUAUUUUUAGAAUUUUAGUUUUAAGCCCAUAUAAAAAAAUUCCAAUGACCACAAAUAUGCUUACAUAUAUUGUUUCAAAAAUAAAAUAGCAAAAUAAUUUGUAAAAUAAUUUUUUUUAAAUAUUUGAAACACAAAUAUACUUUAAAUACUAAGCAUCUUUAAAAUAUAAAUUUCUUUUUUUGACUUCAAUUAAUAUUAAUUUCUUGAAAUCAUUGAUAUAUUAUCAUCUAAAAUUUACGUUGAGAGAAAAAUAUCUAUAAAAAUUAUAUAAGCUAUAUCAUAUAUAUGCACACCAUCUGUCAUAUAAACACGUCAAAAGAAAAUUUAAUAGAAGACUAUAUCUAAAAUCAAAUAUUAAAUACAUAAGAAACGUGUAAUCUAUUAGUACAUAAUCAUACACACAUACAAGAAUAUGAAAUAAGAUAUUGGUAAUGAGAUUACAGAUCCAAUACCUUGGUAAUUCCGGCAAACCCUUGUGACAGUUUACUUGGCCAACGCACAUACAGGGGGAAGGAUAAAGAGACUAGCAUGUGUGUGUAUAUAUACUAAAGAUUUGUGUGUAUAUAUAUAUUAAAGAUUUAUACAGAUUUUGAAGCUAAAUGACUGGGAGUCAUGGUUGGAGAAAAGAUGGAGGCUAAAGAAAUGGGGAGAGAAAGGCUAAAUGACUGGGAGUCAUGGUUGGAGAAAAGAUGGAGGCUAAAGAAAUGGGGAGAGAAAGAAGAGAAGAGCGGCGGUUGAGUAACUCUUAUGAGAUAGGUAAUGAUUAUUUAUAUGCAAUUUUUAGGGUUGGAAAGAAAUUGACUAAAAU
rnacentral:lncRNA from 1 species